rnacentral:lncRNA from 1 species
ACUGAAACAUUAAAAGAAAAUUUAGUUGACGCUGAAACAUUAAAAGAAAAUAGAACGGUACAUUACUUGUUGGCUUUGUUUAUAUACAGAUGUGAAGCGGUCUGAGCCAACACCAGUGGCCAUCAAUCAGACUAUUCCAAAGGUUAAGAAAGUAUAAUCAGAUUAACCACAAAUUGAAGUAUGCUCCAUUCAUAAGGACAUCCACCCAUAUCAUCUCCAACAAACACAAGUCAAAAUAUAACUCAAAGCUGAAGGCAUAUGAUUAAACAAUAUGAUACAAUGGAAAUUUAAAUUCCGAUAACAUAACAAGGUAUAGGAAGCGGCAUGACCAGAUUAAUUCCCCCACUAAAUUAUCCAAUUCAGCGCACUAAGCCAGGUAUCCAGAAGCUAACUGCAUAUGUAUAGUUAAUAUCACAACUCUGUAGGCACCAUCAGGAAGCCCUACCAUUUGAUUUCACCAUCUUUGAAUCAUUUUUAGUACUCCAUAACGUGAUUUUCAUAGUCAAAUUCCCAGAUCAUAAACAUACUGAGUAUUUGUGUUGAGAUAACAAAUCAAGAGCUUCAUGCAGAACUUGAAUUUUGUGCAAAUUAAGUGUUCUCUGUACAGUGGUUUAACUUCCUGCAGCAUUUCGAAGACAGGCAACCACCAACGAACAAAAUAAGGCGAUACAACAGCUUCAGGACUUGCAUUCCACAGUUCACCCUGAAGAAUUUGAUUGAGUAGAUAGAUCAGUUUCCAAGUGAUAAACAGACAGCAUUGAGGAUGGUUUACCUAACUAGAUCAAAGGUCCAUCAAUAUCCAGCAGAAGUGAAAGACAUAUACUUGGUCAGCAUCCCGGAAACUACUUAAAAUAUAUUAAUAAAACGAUCCGAAGAGUUCAGCCAAAUAAUGGAAACUCCAGGCAAGAUAUAAUAAUCUGUAGGAAGAUAAAAGUUGCUUCGAAGCUCAUGACAAAAGAAGUCGCACUAAUUCCAAGAUAGAUCCAUUGCGAUGCAUAGCAGGCCAUCGUAGAAACCUCAACAACCAGACCAAACUUAAGUGUUUGGUAUAUUUCAACUAUUGUCCAAUGCUGCUUUCAUUUCACCUUAAAGACCAGCUGAAGGCUUUAACAAUAACCAUAAACACUGAAGAUGCUUUUUGUAUUACAGUUCACCAUUACUACCUACCUUUUUGAUUCAGACGGGAAAGAAAGGAUUAUGCCAUCAAAAUUCCUAGAGCACUGGCUUGUACUAUAUUCAUUGAGUUUUCUCUGGGUGCCUUUCCAUUACCAUAAUCAGAAUGUGGUUAUACUCUAGCCACAACCCCUGAAUCAGGGUUUGUCUCAGGUAGAGCAAUGCUAAGUGGUUGCCAACCAGACGGAUUAUGUGCAAUCCAUUUUUUAUGGGUAAUUAACAUGUUCAAUAUCUGAAGGACAUCGCCCAAAGCAAGAUCUUUGAAGCACAUAUUCUUAAUCACAAUACCUGCUUCGUACCUAGAAAUGAAAACAAAGACAUAUAAGAUGACUAAGACAAGCUUGAAAAGAUAAUAAUCAACUUACAAGUUUUUGAGACAUCACAAUAUGCUUACUUGCA